CUCCCCUAUUCCCUCCCUCCUUCUUUCCCUCCCUCCCUCCCUUCCUUCAUCCUAGUCUCUAAAAAUCAAUGGAAAAAGUAUCCUUGGGUGAGGAUUAAAAUAGUAAUAAUAAUAAUAAUAAUAAUAGUAAUAAUAAUAAUGGCUUUGUUGUCUAACAUACAAGGGCUGGAAUUCUGACUCUGCCACUCUAUAGCUUGAAUUUGGAUAAAUCAAAACCUGAGCCUUGUCUUCCUGCUCCAUGAAAUGGGAACUUUAAAAUGCACCUUAUGGAGCUGUAGUGAUCAUCUAUUAUUAUGCAAUGCACUUAGUGUAUUUCCUGAUAUACAAGAAAUGCAAUAAAUGGUUACAAUUACUAGCUGCACAGUCAACUCAUAUUAGAGCGCCCUGCCAGACUGACUGGGACUCAAAAAUAAUCUCUUUCUUGGAGGCUAUGAAUUGAUGUGUGGGACAGACUUUAUCUCUAAGCUUUGAAAGGAAGAGACAUGGAAAAGAUCUGGGUCAACAAGACAAAACUUCAAAAUAGAAAAUUAGUAGGAUUUUUUGAAAAUGUGGAAAAAAUCUAAAACCCCCUUUAGCUUUGAUUUCAGUUGUUUAACACACUGUGCGGUUAUUUCUUUGAAGUAAAAUAAUUGGUGAAGGAACUAUAA